GACGUAGGGCGCAAGCGUUGUCCGGAUUUAUUGGGCGUAAAGAGCUCGUAGGCGGCUUGUUGCGUCGACCGUGAAAACCCGUGGCUCAACUGCGGGCUUGCGGUCGAUACGGGCGGGCUAGAGUUCGGUAGGGGAGACUGGAAUUCCUGGUGUGAGCGGUGAAAUGCGCAGAUAUCAGGAGGAACACCGGUGGCGAAGGCGGGUCUCUGGGCCGAUACUGACGCUGAGGAACGAAAGCUAGGGGAGCAAACAGG
rnacentral:rRNA from 1 species